rnacentral:rRNA from 1 species
GAUGAACGCUGGCGGCGUGCCUAACACAUGCAAGUCGAGCGAACAGAUGAGGAGCUUGCUCCUCUGACGUUAGCGGCGGACGGGUGAGUAACACGUGGAUAACCUACCUAUAAGACUGGGAUAACUUCGUGAAACCAGAGCUAAUACCGGAUAAUAUAUUGAACCGCAUGGUUCAAUAGUGUUAGACGGUUUUGCUGUUACUUAUAGAUGGAUUCGCGCCGCAUUAGCUAGUUGGUAAGGUAACGGCUUACCAAGGCAACGAUGCGUAGCUGACCUGAGAGGGUGAUCGGCCACAGUGGGACUGAGACACGGUCCAGACUCCUACGGGAGGCAGCAGUAGGGAAGCUUCGGCAAAGGGCGAAAGCCUGACGGAGCAACGCCGCGUGGGUGAAGAAGGUCUGCGGAUCGUAAAACUCUGUUAUUAGGGAAGAACAAAUGUGUAAGUAACUAUGCACGUCUUGACGGUACCUAAUCAGAAAGCCACGGCUAACUACGUG